AUACGUAGGUGACAAGCGUUAUCCGGAUUUACUGGGCGUAAAGGGCGUGUAGGCGGUCUUGCAAGUCAGAAGUGAAAUUCCUGAGCUCAACUCGGGCGCUGCUUCUGAAACUGCAGGACUUGAGUGCUGGAGGGGAUAGCGGAAUUCCUAGUGGAGCGGUAAAAUGCGCAGAUAUUAGGAAGAACACCGGUGGCGAAGGCGGCUAAUUGAGCAGUAACUGACGCUGAGGCGCGAAAGCGUGGAGAUCAAACAGGAUUCGAUACCCUGUUAGUCCACGCCGUAAACGAUGAAUACUAGGUGUAGGGGGUAUCGACUCCCUCUGUGCCGCAGUUAACACAAUAAGUAUUCCGCCUGGGGAGUACGGCCGCAAGGUUGAAACUCAAAUGAAUUGACGGGG
rnacentral:rRNA from 1 species